GCAUAUUAUUGUGAUGGUUAUAAGCCAAAUUCCCAUAAGAAACCAAUAUUUUGGACAGAAGAUUGGGAUGGAUGGUAUACAACUUGGGGUGGGAGGUUGCCUCAUAGGCCGGUUGAAGACCUUGCAUUUGCAGUUGCACGCUUUUUUGAACGUGGGGGGAGCUUCCAGAAUUAUUAUAUGUAUUUUGGUGGAACAAACUUUGGUCGGACUGCUGGAGGCCCCUUCUAUAUAACUAGUUAUGACUAUGAUGCUCC
rnacentral:misc_RNA from 1 species